UGGGGAAUAUUGGACAAUGGGCGCAAGCCUGAUCCAGCCAUACCGCGUGGGUGAAGAAGGCCUUCGGGUUGUAAAGCCCUUUUGUUGGGAAAGAAAUCCAGCUGGCUAAUACCCGGUUGGGAUGACGGUACCCAAAGAAUAAGCACCGGCUAACCUCGUGCCAGCAGCCGCGGUAAUACGAAGGGUGCAAGCGUUACUCGGAAUUACUGGGCGUAAAGCGUGCGUAGGUGGUCGUUUAAGUCCGUUGUGAAAGCCCUGGGCUCAACCUGGGAACUGCAGUGGAUACUGGGCGACUAGAGUGUGGUAGAGGGUAGCGGAAUUCCUGGUGUAGCAGUGAAAUGCGUAGAGAUCAGGAGGAACAUCCAUGGCGAAGGCAGCUACCUGGACCAACACUGACACUGAGGCACGAAAGCGUGGGGAGCAAACAGGAUUAGAUACCCUGGUAGUCCACGCCCUAAACGAUGCGAACUGGAUGUUGGGUGCAAUUUGGCACGCAGUAUCGAAGCUAACGCGUUAAGUUCGCCGCCUGGGGAGUACGGUCGCAAGACUGAAACUCAAAUGAAUUGACGGGGUCAUAGC
rnacentral:rRNA from 1 species